UUUCUGUUGUAUGCAGAGCACGUACGCGGUGUUUUUUUGUGCCCUUUUUGGAGUUUCGUAUAUUUCUCGCGCAUAUUUACGUUUAAUGAAACGAACAUUUAACAAACAAGAACUGUGUACGUUUAGUGUUUAUUGUGUGUUUAACAAAGUGACCAAAAUAUAAAUAUAAUACAUCAAAUUGUAUGGCUUCCCAAUACAUUUGUGAGUUUAUACGCGCGCGUCCUUUUUGUGCGAUCCCAAAACAAACAACAACAACAACAAAACAACCCGAUGGUUGUUUUUGUGCGCGUCGUACUCAUUGAAAUGACAAACUAAUAAUAAUAAAAAAAAAUCAAAUUGGAUUAUCGCCAAGCCCCGUGCUAAUGUUGGAUAGUUCAACAUGUCUACCCAAUCGCUAUAUCGCUGCCUCUUGCCUCACGUCCCGCCACUUCGAGCAACGUAGAGUUUCUUCUGUUUUGUCUCAUAUUCUUCCAACAAAAUUGUGGCAAUUGCAACAACAACAACAACAACAAAUAUAAUAAUAAUAAGAACAAAGUCUUGUGAAAAUUCCUGCCAACAGCAACAAGUGAAACGCAAAGAAGAAAAAAAAAACAUUUAAAAACUAAAUAUAACAAAUCAAAAACAACAACAAACUACACUGAGAGAAACGCUCGAGCGUGUUUGGUGCCGUUUUGUGGUCUUGUUACUUCGUGAUUUCGUCGCCGUCGUCAGCGUUUGCCGCCGACGGAGGAGGACGAGAGACGCGAAGCAACGAGCCGUAGCCAAAGCCUCAACACGGACGCAUUUAUGGAUGCGGGCGGCCUGCCAGUGUUCCAGAGCGCCAGCCAAGCAGCAGCAGCCGCCGUCGCCCAGCAGCAACAACAACAGCAGCAGCAACAGCAACAACAGCAG
rnacentral:sRNA from 1 species